rnacentral:rRNA from 1 species
GACGAACGCUGGCGGCGUGCUUAACACAUGCAAGUCGAACGGAAAGGCCCUGCUUUUGUGGGGUGCUCGAGUGGCGAACGGGUGAGUAACACGUGAGUAACCUGCCCUUGACUUUGGUAUAACUUCAGGAAACUGGGGCUAAUACCGGAUAGGAGCUCCUGCUGCAUGGUGGGGGUUGGAAAGUUUCGGCGGUUGGGGAUGGACUCGCGGCUUAUCAGCUUGUUGGUGGGGUAGUGGCUUACCAAGGCUUUGACGGGUAGCCGGCCUGAGAGGGUGACCGGCCACAUUGGGACUGAGAUACGGCCCAGACUCCUACGGGAGGAAGCAGUGGGGAAUAUUGCACAAUGGGCGGAAGCCUGAUGCAGAAACGCCGCGUGCGGGAUGACGGCCUUCGGGUUGUAACCCGCUUUCGCCUGUGACGAAGCGUGAGUGACGGUAAUGGGUAAAGAAGCACCGGCUAACUACGUG